rnacentral:lncRNA from 1 species
CCACUACUCCUCUCCUGCCCCCUUCCCUCCAAAGAGUCCACAGCCACAUCUUCAGUGGCAUAUCGAGUUUUCAUUUUUGGACAAAGUGACAUUUAGCUUUAACAAGACAUUUCCAAAGCUCCUGGUCUCCUUUGAAAUGCUGACUUUAAAAGUUCAGCAUUGUUGCCAAGGAUGCGGGGGAGGGGCUAAUGAAAGAAAGACUUAGAUUAUGCAUGAAUGUGCACGCCCCGUCCCUCAGUUAUUCAAAUUUCAAAUGCCUUUGAGUUGCUUUUCAUAGAUGGGUUUAGUUUGCUCAUGUUAAGUAGUCUGUUACUGUAAUUUUUGUAGUAUUCUGGCUUUAAUUUCUACCACAAAUAUGCUAUGUACUAAGCUUUCUGUGAUCAGAAAGGAAAGGUGCCUUAAAUCCCAAUACCACGCCUCUAUCCCUAUGGAAAAUAUAUCAGAAGCACAGUGCCAGGAAGCAUUGGGACUUCCGUUGGCAAAAUAGGACACCAUUCAGCAAGACACAUCCAAGUGGCACGGGGCUGCUUUUGUUUGCUAAUUCCUUUUUUUUCUCCCAACCUAUAAUUAUCUUUUGUUUGUUGUUUAUUUUAUUUUUUUUUAUAGUUCGCUUUAAACAGGAAGCACUUAAUAGAUGGCUCUGUGUCAAAGCUCUGUGCAAUGGAAAUCAUGUUGCUUUUGUUUGGGGGGUUUGUUUUGUUUUUCUUUUCUUGUUUUAAAAAGAUAGCGUUAUUGCACACCAAAUGAACUCCUAAGUAAGCUUUAGAACCAGGAUCGAUUCAGGUCGUGGAUGGGUAUGUUCACUGUAGUUCUGUGUGUUCAUGAACCGACGGGCAAGCUGGCCUCCCUUGGCCACUGAGGCUCAGCCCUGAGCCCUGGGUCAUGGCUGCCUGGGUCCCAACGGGGAACCUUCCCGGAUGUCUGACCCCACAGUCGACCCUUGAAGCACUUAACCCUCUCUUUGUGGAGAUAGACCGACUGCUACUGAUCUGUCAGCGUACUCGAGGGUGAUUAUAAAAGGAUGUUUCUUUAAGAAAGAAAAGAUAUUUCUAUCCUCUUCUAAUUUAUUAUUAGGUUAAUCAUUUAAGUACUUAUCAGGAGUGUGU